rnacentral:rRNA from 1 species
UUGACCUCGGAUCAGGUAGGGAUACCCGCUGAACUUAAGCAUAUCAAUAAGCGGAGGAAAAGAAACCAACAGGGAUUGCCUCAGUAACGGCGAGUGAAGCGGCAAGAGCUCAAAUUUGAAAGCUGGCUCCUUCGGGGUCCGCAUUGUAAUUUGCAGAGGAUGCUUCGGGCAUGGCCCCCGUCUAAGUGCCCUGGAAGGGGCCGUCAUAGAGGGUGAGAAUCCCGUCUGGGACGGGGUGUCCGUGUCCGUGUGAAGCUCCUUCGACGAGUCGAGUUGUUUGGGAAUGCAGCUCUAAAUGGGUGGUAAAUUUCAUCUAAAGCUAAAUACUGGCCGGAGACCGAUAGCGCACAAGUAGAGUGAUCGAAAGAUGAAAAGCACUUUGAAAAGAGAGUUAAACAGCACGUGAAAUUGUUGAAAGGGAAGCGUUUGCGACCAGACUCGCCCGCGGGGUUCAACCGGCAUUCGUGCCGGUGUACUUCCCCGUGGGCGGGCCAGCGUCGGUUUGGGCGGCCGGUCAAAGGCCUCCGGAAUGUAUCGCCCUUCGGGGUUGUCUUAUAGCCGGGGGUGCAAUGCGGCCUGCCUGGACCGAGGAACGCGCUUCGGCUCGGACGCUGGCGUAAUGGUCGUAAAUGACCCGUCUG